rnacentral:rRNA from 1 species
GUGGGGAAUUUUGGACAAUGGGCGCAAGCCUGAUCCAGCAAUGCCGCGUGCAGGAAGAAGGCCUUCGGGUUGUAAACUGCUUUUGUACGGAACGAAACGGUCCGGGUUAAUACCCUGGGCUAAUGACGGUACCGUAAGAAUAAGCACCGGCUAACUACGUGCCAGCAGCCGCGGUAAUACGUAGGGUGCAAGCGUUAAUCGGAAUUACUGGGCGUAAAGCGUGCGCAGGCGGUUUUGUAAGACAGGCGUGAAAUCCCCGGGCUCAGCCUGGGAAUUGCGCUUGUGACUGCAAGGCUGGAGUGCGGCAGAGGGGGAUGGAAUUCCGCGUGUAGCAGUGAAAUGCGUAGAUAUGCGGAGGAACACCGAUGGCGAAGGCAAUCCCCUGGGCCUGCACUGACGCUCAUGCACGAAAGCGUGGGGAGCAAACAGGAUUAGAAACCCCGGUAGUCC